UACGUAGGGUGCGAGCGUUAAUCGGAAUUACUGGGCGUAAAGAGCGCGCAGGCGGCACCUCAAGUACGCAGUGGAAUCUCCCUGCUCAACGGGGAGGGUGCAGCGUAAACUGGGGAGCUAGAGGACGGUAGAGGGGGGUAGAAUUGCUGGUGUAGCGGUGAAAUGCGUAGAGAUCAGCAGGAAUACCCGUGGCGAAGGCGGCCCCCUGGGCCGAACCUGACGCUGAGGCGCGAAGGCUAGGGGAGCGAACGGG
rnacentral:rRNA from 1 species